CAGAGGGGCAAGCGUUGUUCGGAAUUAUUGGGCGUAAAGGGCGCGUAGGCGGCCUUGCAAGUGACGGGUGAAAUCCCUCGGCUUAACCGAGGAACUGCCUGUCAGACUGCAUGGCUUGAGACCGGGAGAGGUGAGUGGAAUUCCCAGUGUAGCGGUGAAAUGCGUAGAUAUUGGGAGGAACACCAGUGGCGAAGGCGGCUCACUGGACCGGUACUGACGCUGAGGCGCGAAAGCGUGGGGAGCAAACAGGAUUAGAUACCCUGGUAGUCCACGCCGUAAACGAUGAGUGCUUGGUGUGGCGGGUAUCGACCCCUGCUGUGCCGAAGUCAACACAUUAAGCACUCCGCCUGGGGAGUACGGUCGCAAGACUG
rnacentral:rRNA from 1 species